GGGCUAUGAUGAAGUUAGUGCUCUAUGCGGUAGAGGGGUCUAUCGCAGUCGUCAGAUCUUCAACAGCUGAAUUCAUAGCACAUCUCAGCUC
rnacentral:snoRNA from 1 species